rnacentral:rRNA from 1 species
GUGGGGAAUCUUAGACAAUGGGGGCAACCCUGAUCUAGCCAUGCCGCGUGAGUGAUGAAGGCCUUAGGGUCGUAAAGCUCUUUCGCCGGGGUAGAUAAUGACUGUACCCGGUAAAGAAACCCCGGCUAACUCCGUGCCAGCAGCCGCGGUAAUACGGAGGGGGUUAGCGUUGUUCGGAAUUACUGGGCGUAAAGCGCGCGUAGGCGGAUCGGAAAGUUGGGGGUGAAAUCCCGGGGCUCAAACCCGGAAUUGCCUUCAAAACUCCCGGUCUUGAGGUCGAGAGAGGUGAGUGGAAUUCCGAGUGUAGAGGUGAAAUUCGUAGAUAUUCGGAGGAACACCAGUGGCGAAGGCGGCUCACUGGCUCGAUACUGACGCUGAGGUGCGAAAGCGUGGGGAGCAAACAGGAUUAGAAACCCGUGUAGUCC